CAGGGGAAUUUAAUUAUUUUAGUUUCUCACGAAAAAUAAAAAAAUAAUCUUUCAAGUGUGUAAUUUAAAAUCAGCUAAGUAAUGACAUAAAUCACGAGGCAAAAAAAUAAUGAUAAAUAGGGAAGCUUUCUAAAUGCCUUAAUUAGUCGAAAAUAUAUCGCACGAGCGGAGGAUGGAAUUGAGAAUGAGAAUAUAAGUUGAGAAUGAAAGCGGCGAUGCUUUUCACCGAGUUGAUUAACCUUAUGGUAGAUCGGCUUACAGCCUCACAGCAGAAUUCUAGUGGGUACCAGACUUUAAACUCCUCGAUGGCAUGCAAGGUAAUAGAUGCAGGCAUAAAAGGAGGAUAAGGAUGAGGAUGAAGAUAGAAGAAAGAAAGGAAUUAAAAGAGGUAAGGCUUUGCUGCAUUGAUCGUCCUCUUCCUGUCGAUCGAUAUACAUACGAGUUUGCUGAGGAAACCAACGACUCUGACGACUCUGAUGACUGUAAGACCCAUACCAAGACCCAAGACCAAAGAUUAAACUCUUUACAACAGCUCCUAAAUUCGAGCCAUUUAAACCAUUCAAACAAGUGGACAAGUCUAUCGGUGAUAUACUAUAUAUUUUAUUAUAUAUUGUCGAUCAUUUCCUUACUGGUAUUAUCAUUUGAAGAGUAAUUGGUUGGUAUAUAUAAAUAUAUGGCAGUAAAGAACCGACAUUUUGACCUUUGACGAUUAAAAGAGAGUGAAAUAAAAAGAAGGAGGGUAUUACAAACAUUAAACAUUAAAUAUUAUAUUAUAUGUGUAUCUCAGCUCCAUUUAUCUCAGUUUAUGUUUUAUUGGCGUAAUUAAA